AGACUGGCAUGUAGAGCCACAGGGAUUGCCCCAGUAACGGCGAGUGAAGCGGCAACAGCUCAGAUUUGGAAUCCGGCCCCCCGAGGGGCCCGAGUUGUAAUCUGCAGAGGAUGCUCCUGGCGCGGCGCCUUCCGAGUUCCCUGGAACGGGACGCCACAGAGGGUGAGAGCCCCGUCGGGUCGGACGCCAAGCCUGUGUGGAGCUCCUUCGGCGAGUCGAGUAGUUUGGGAAUGCUGCUCUAAACGGGAGGUAUAUGUCUUCUAAAGCUAAAUACCGGCCAGAGACCGAUAGCGCACAAGUAGAGUGAUCGAAAGAUGAAAAGCACUUUGAAAAGAGGGUUAAACAGUACGUGAAAUUGUUGAAAGGGAAGCGCUCGUGGCCAGACUCGGGCGCGGCGGAUCAGCCGGCGUUCUCGCCGGCGCACUCCGCCGCGCCCGGGCCAGCAUCGGCUCGCGGCGGGGGACGAAGGCGCCGGGAACGUGGCUCCCCAGGGAGUGUUACAGCCCGGCGCGCAACGCCCCGCGGCGGGCCGAGGUUCGCGCAUUCGCAAGGAUGCUGGCGUAAUGGCCACCAGCGACCCGUCUUGAAACACGGACCAAGGAGUCGUCCUCGUAUGCGAGUGUUCGGGUGUCAAGCCCCUACGCGCAAUGAAAGUGAACGCAGGUGAGAGCCUCGGCGCAUCAUCGACCGAUCCCGAUGUUCUCGGACGGAUUUGAGUAGGAGCAUACGGGGCCGGACCCGAAAGAAGGUGAACUAUGCCUGUGUAGGGUGAAGCCAGAGGAAACUCUGGUGGAGGCUCGCAGCGGUUCUGACGUGCAAAUCGAUCGUCAAACAUGGGCAUGGGGGCGAAAGACUAAUCGAACCUUCUAGUAGCUGGUUUCCGCC
rnacentral:rRNA from 2 species